rnacentral:rRNA from 1 species
AACGAACGCUGGCGGCAUGCCUAACACAUGCAAGUCGAACGCGUGUAGCAAUACACGAGUGGCGGACGGGUGAGUAACGCGUGGGAACCUGCCCAGUGGUAGGGAAUAACUGCGGGAAACUGCAGCUAAUACCCUAUACGCCCUUUGGGGGAAAGAUUCAUCGCCAUUGGAGGGGCCCGCGUCGGAUUAGCUAGUUGGCGGGGUAAUGGCCCACCAAGGCAACGAUCCGUAGCUGGUCGAGAGGAUGAUCAGCCACACUGGGACUGAGAUACGGCCCAGACUCCUACGGGAGGCAGCAGUGGGGAAUAUUGGACAAUGGGGGAAACCCUGAUCCAGCAAUGCCGCGUGAGUGAAGAAGGCCUUC